rnacentral:pre_miRNA from 9 species
UGUCGAUAGCGUGAAAGUUAACUCAAAUUUGUAUGGAGUUGGAACGUUUGAAUAUGUUUGCUGCUAGGGGCGCUGUUCCAACUGCGUAGUAAUUUGAGUUAACUUUUGCGCUAUCGA